rnacentral:rRNA from 1 species
UACGUAGGGGGCAAGCGUUGUCCGGAAUCAUUGGGCGUAAAGCGCGCGUAGGCGGCCCGGUAAGUCCGUUGUAAAAGUCGAAGGCUCAACCUUCGAAAGCCGAUGGAUACUGCCGGGCUAGAGUCCGGAAGAGGCGAGUGGAAUUCCUGGUGUAGCGGUGGAAUGCGCAGAUAUCAGGAGGAACACCGAUGGCGAAGGCAGGUCUCUGGGCCAUAACUGACGCUGAGAAGCGAAAGCAUGGGGAGCGAACAGG